rnacentral:rRNA from 1 species
CAGUAGCCGCGGGAAUACAGAGGGUGCGAGCGUUAAUCGGAUUUACUGGGCGUAAAGCGUGCGUAGGCGGCUUCUUAAGUCGGAUGUGAAAUCCCUGAGCUUAACUUAGGAAUUGCAUUCGAUACUGGGAAGCUAGAGUAUGGGAGAGGAUGGUAGAAUUCCAGGUGUAGCGGUGAAAUGCGUAGAGAUCUGGAGGAAUACCGAUGGCUAAGGCAGCCAUCUGGCCUAAUACUGACGCUGAGGUACGAAAGCAUGGGGAGCAAACAGGAUUAGAUACCCCAGUAGUCCCUGUCUCUUAUAC